rnacentral:lncRNA from 1 species
UUAGAAUUUUUUUUAUAUUUCAAGAAAAUAAUUCUGAACCAUUAAAUUGAAGAGCACAGAGAAAUAAACGCUUGUGAUUUGGAAAUUCUUCUCUCAAUGUUGAAGACCUCAUGUUUGAUUUGAGGAACAAUUAGUGUGAUCUGAAAUUUCUUUGAUUUGAUUUUGCAGGAGUUAACUUUGGGUGAAAUAGAAAGUGAGAAGAGAAGGCAGAAGGGAAGAAACGUGCUGGAAGAAAUAGAUUUCUUUCAUAUGUUCUGAAGGGUAAAAGAGUAAAUAGCAAUAUUCAUAUUUUUCAAUGUAAAAUCUGGUCGAAGGCUAAAAACAAGUUUUUGAAUAUCUAUUUCUUUGGACUUUUAAUUAUUGAUUCUCACAAAUUCUAGUAAAUGAUAGGAC